AAUUUUUGGGAAACAAAUUCCAAAAAUCCACAGCUGUUCCCAAAAACUUUAAAAAAUUAAUCUUUUUGGAUAUAAACCGUCUCUCCAGCCCACACCCUGCGGGCGCCCCUGAUAAUAUAGUAAUUACUAUAUAGCUAUGUUAAGCGAUUAUAAAAAAAAUAGAUAUAAAGACAAUAAGUCACAAUUCCAAUUCUAUACAUUCCAAUUUUAUUACUGAUUAAGAUCCUUAUCUCCUGCAAUAUUCCACUCGAUAUUGUGAAUCAUCCAAAUAUUGUCAAGUUCAUAGAAUUUACACAUCUCCAUCAGUAAGUUAAUGGAGUCUCAAUAUAUAGAAAUUUAUCCAAGAUAAAUAAAGAAGACUAUAUUUCUUACAUUGGAAGAAACAACAGACACUUGGUCGCUAGAGGGUUAUUUUUUGGGUCGUCUUUAUCUCAUUAAUUUGGAAGAUGGUACGAAAUCUGACAAUAAAACGAUUUAAAGUGUUACUGUAAAAGUGUCAACAACGCUCUUGGCUCCGAUUUCAGAUGCGAAAGACCUGACACCAUCAAUCACGAUAGUGAUUUUUUAGAUACAAAAACAAUCCUAACGUUAACUAUGAUUCUGAGAGUUUUCAGUGUGAUGUCAGACAUAAAACGAAAAAGUCUAUUUUGACGGAUAGUCAUAUCUAGGAUAUUAUGAUAUUGAAAUGAAGCAUUGAAUUAUUAAACGUUGGAAAUUUAGUAAGAAGAUAGUUAAAUGAUCUAACAAAUCAUACAAGUAUUUAAAUUUGGGUAUUGAAUCAGUUAACUACGAUGAUGGAUGAAAGUUUGGUCAUUAUAGAAGUUGACAACUAUAGUAUGUUUCUAAUAAUUAAAAUUUCUAAUUAUUAUUACAUUUAGAAUUUAUUAUCAUACUCUUGACGUAAACCUGCGUCAGAUGGGACUUGUUUGGAACAUUUAUGUCCGACAUUCCACUGAAACCCCUUUCGGAAACAAAGUUGACGAUAGGAGUGUUUUAUUAUUUAAAAAAUUCUCUAUCGUGGGUGAUGGUUUUUGGUACACAUUUCCUCAAUUAGAUGUAUCCCUUGAUUUUCUCUCUGCCCUCAUAACAUUGAGUUUUGAAAUGUUCAAGGAUAAUAUCUUGGCAUUGAUUUUCAACGAUAAUUAAACAUAGGAACUGCGGCGAUCUCUCUUCCAAUGCUUUAAUGGUAACCUGGAUUGGAUUCAAAUUUUGUGAAAUAAACAUUUUUUCUUACAAUUGGAUCAUUUUUCAAAAUAUCUAUUUAUUUUCAAAAUGCAACAUUGUUUUCAUCCAUAACAUUAAUAUACUCUAACUGAAUUGAA
rnacentral:lncRNA from 1 species